rfam:Microcoleus sp. PCC 7113, complete genome.
CAGUAGAUGCACCCUGAUGACCGCCCUCAGCAACUCGCUGAGGGUUUUUUCU